rnacentral:misc_RNA from 1 species
GGAAAGAUUGCAGAUGUCUGGUCUUGUGGAGUGACUUUGUAUGUCAUGCUGGUGGGAGCAUACCCUUUUGAAGACCCAGAGGAACCCAAAAAUUUUCGGAAGACAAUACAGCGAAUCUUGAACGUACAAUAUUCGAUUCCUGAUUAUGUACAUAUCUCUCCUGAAUGUCGUCAUCUAAUAUCAAGGAUUUUUGUUGCAGAUCCUGCAAAGAGGAUAUCAAUCCCUGAGAUCAAGAACCAUGAGUGGUUCUUGAAGAACCUUCCUGCUGAUCUAAUGGAUGACAA